UACGUAGGCAGCAAGCGUUGUUCGGAAUCACUGGGCGUAAAGGGAGCGUAGGCGGGUUUCUAAGUCAGGUGUUUAAUCCCGGGGCCCAAACCCCCGGACAGGCACUUGAAACUGGGAAUCUUGAAUAGUGGAGAGGUCAGUGGAAUUGGGGGUGUAGCGGUGGAAUGCGUAGAGAUCCCCAAGAACACCAGUUGCGAAGGCGGCUGACUGGACACAUAUUGACGCUGAGGCUCGAAAGCGUGGGGAGCAAACAGG
rnacentral:rRNA from 1 species